GAGUUUGAUCAUGGCUCAGAGCGAACGCUGGCGGCAGGCUUAACACAUGCAAGUCGAGCGGGCGUAGCAAUACGUCAGCGGCAGACGGGUGAGUAACACGUGGGAACGUACCUUUUGGUUCGGAACAACUGAGGGGAAACUUCAGCUAAUACCGGAUAAGCCCUAACGGGGAAAGAUUUAUCGCCGAAAGAUCGGCCCGCGUCUGAUUAGCUAGUUGGUGAGGUAAUGGCUCACCAAGGCGACGAUCAGUAGCUGGUCUGAGAGGAUGAUCAGCCACACUGGGACUGAGACACGGCCCAGACUCCUACGGGAGGCAGCAGUGGGGAAUAUUGGACAAUGGGGGCAACCCUGAUCCAGCCAUGCCGCGUGAGUGAUGAAGGCCCUAGGGUUGUAAAGCUCUUUUGUGCGGGAAGAUAAUGACGGUACCGCAAGAAUAAGCCCCGACUAACUUCGUGCCAGCAGCAGCCG
rnacentral:rRNA from 1 species